CCUACGGGUAGCUGCAGUGAGGAAUAUUGGUCAAUGGGCGCGAGCCUGAACCAGCCAAGUCGCGUGAGGGAAGACGGCCCUACGGGUUGUAAACCUCUUUUGCCGGGGAGCAACGGGCGCCACGUGUGGCGCCACUGAGAGUACCCGGAGAAAAAGCAUCGGCUAACUCCGUGCCAGCAGCCGCGGUAAUACGGAGGAUGCGAGCGUUAUCCGGAUUUAUUGGGUUUGAAGGGUGCGUAGGCGGAGCGUUAAGUCAGUGGUCAAAUUGAGGGGCUCAACCCCUUCCCGCCAUUGAAACUGGCGCUCUUGAGUGGAAGAGAAGUAAGCGGAAUGCGUGGUGUAGCGGUGAAAUGCAUAGAUAUCACGCAGAACCCCGAUUGCGAAGGCAGCAUGCUGGCUUCCUACUGACGCUGAAGCACGAAAGCGUGGGGAGCGAACAGGAUUAGAUACCCUUGUAGUC
rnacentral:rRNA from 1 species